rnacentral:rRNA from 1 species
GACGAACCGUGCAAACGUUGUUCGGAUUCACUGGGCUUAAAGGGCGCGUAGGCGGGCGGUCAAGUCAGGAGUGAAAUCUUUCGGCUCAACCGGAAAAGUGCCUUUGAUACUGGCCGUCUCGAGGGAGGUAGGGGCAUGCGGAACUUCCGGUGGAGCGGUGAAAUGCGUAGAUAUCGGAAGGAACGCCGGUGGCGAAAGCGGCGUGCUGGACCUCUUCUGACGCUGAGGCGCGAAAGCCAGGGGAGCAAACGGG